rnacentral:rRNA from 1 species
CCUACGGGAGGCAGCAGUGGGGAAUAUUGGACAAUGGGCGAAAGCCUGAUCCAGCAAUGCCGCGUGAGUGAUGAAGGCCUUAGGGUUGUAAAGCUCUUUUACCAGGGAUGAUAAUGACAGUACCUGGAGAAUAAGCUCCGGCUAACUCCGUGUCAGCAGCCGCGGUAAUACGGAGGGAGCUAGCGUUGUUCGGAAUUACUGGGCGUAAAGCGUACGUAGGCGGUUAUUCAAGUCAGAGGUGAAAGCCUGGAGCUCAACUCCAGAACUGCCUUUGAAACUAGAUAGCUAGAAUCUUGGAGAGGUGAGUGGAAUUCCGAGUGUAGAGGUGAAAUUCGUAGAUAUUCGGAAGAACACCAGUGGCGAAGGCGACUCACUGGACAAGUAUUGACGCUGAGGUACGAAAGCGUGGGGAGCAAACAGGAUUAGAUACCCUGGUAGUCCACGCCGUAAACGACGAUAACUAGCUGUUCGGGCUCUACGAGCUUGAGUGGCGCAGCUAACGCAUUAAGUUAUCCGCCUGGGGAGUACGGUCGCAAGAUUAAAACUCAAAUGAAUUGACGG